rnacentral:rRNA from 1 species
CGGGGGGAGCAAGCGUUGUUCGGAUUUACUGGGCGUAAAGGGCGCGUAGGCGGCCACCGCAAGUCGACUGUGAAAUCUCCGGGCUUAACCCGGAAAGGUCAGCCGAUACUGCGGGGCUAGAGUGCAGAAGGGGCAACUGGAAUUCUCGGUGUAGCGGUGAAAUGCGUAGAUAUCGAGAGGAACACCUGCGGCGAAGGCGGGUUGCUGGGCUGACACUGACGCUGAGGCGCGAGAGCUAGGGGAGCGAACGGGAUUAGAUACCCCGGUAGUCCUAGCCUUAAACGAUGAAUGCUUGGUGUCUGGGGUUUUAUAGUCCCCGGGUGCCGUCGCUAACGCUUUAAGCAUUCCGCCUGGGGAGUACGGUCGCAAGACUG